rnacentral:tRNA from 1 species
AAGGAUUUAAGUUAAAUUAAACUUUUAACCUUCAAAGUUAAUAAUAGGCUAUUGUCUAAGCCUUA